rnacentral:rRNA from 1 species
GAUGAACGCUGGCGGCGUGCUUAACACAUGCAAGUCGAACGGUGAAGGCGGAGCUUGCUCUGCUGGAUCAGUGGCGAACGGGUGAGUAACACGUGAGCAAUCUGCCCCUGACUCUGGGAUAAGCGCUGGAAACGGCGUCUAAUACUGGAUACGAGCUGCGAAGGCAUCUUCAGCAGCUGGAAAGAACUUCGGUCAGGGAUGAGCUCGCGGCCUAUCAGCUUGUUGGUGAGGUAACGGCUCACCAAGGCGUCGACGGGUAGCCGGCCUGAGAGGGUGACCGGCCACACGGGGACGGAGACACGGCCCAGACUCCUACGGGAGGCAGCAGUGGGGAAUAUUGCACAAUGGGCGAAAGCCUGAUGCAGCAACGCCGCGUGAGGGACGACGGCCUUCGGGUUGUAAACCUCUUUUAGCAGGGAAGAAGCGAAAGUGACGGUACCUGCAGAAAAAGCGCCGGCUAACUACGU